UACGAAGGGGGCUAGCGUUGCUCGGAAUCACUGGGCGUAAAGCGCACGUAGGCGGAUUGCUAAGUCAGGGGUGAAAUCCUGGAGCUCAACUCCAGAACUGCCUUUGAUACUGGUGAUCUUGGGUCCGGGAGAGGUGAGUGGAACUGCGAGUGUAGAGGUGAAAUUCGUAGAUAUUCGCAAGAACACCAGUGGCGAAGGCGGCUCACUGGCCCGGUACUGACGCUGAGGUGCGAAAGCGUGGGGAGCAAACAGG
rnacentral:rRNA from 1 species